AAACUUAAAUGAAUUGACGGGUCCCCGCACAAGCAGCGGAGCGUGUGGUUUAAUUCGUUGCUACACGAAGAACCUUACCUGGGUUUGACAUAGCAGUGGUAGGGAAGAGAAAUCGGACCGACCCUUCGGGGAGCUGUUACAGGUGUUGCAUGGCUGUCGUCAGCUCGUGUCGUGAGAUGUUCGGUUAAGUCCGCUAACGAGCGCAACCCGCGUUGUGUGUUAUAUGUGUCACACAAUACCGCCGGUAUUAAGCCGGAGGAAGGUGCGGAUGACGUCAAGUCAGCAUGACCUUUAUAUCCAGGGCUACACACACGCUACAAUGGACAGUACAACAGGUUGCCAAGCCGCGAGGCGGAGCCAAUCCUCUAAAGCUGUCCUCAGUUCAGAUUGAAGUCUGCAACUCGACUUCAUGAAGUCGGAAUCGCUAGUAAUCGCGGAUCAGAACGCCGCGGUGAAUACGUUCUCGGGGUUU
rnacentral:rRNA from 1 species